CAGUUUACUACAUUUGAUGAAGUAGGGUGAAGCUCACACAAGCUUAUGCUGGUUUAUGAUGAGAAGCCAGAAUAGUGCCCACAGCAAGCAACUACAGAGCAGAAAGUGCUUCAUCUUUUUUACUGUUAAGAUGCAACAACAUCCACAAACUUAGUCAAGAGGAUGAUGCUAGCCACCUCUACAGCAAAUUUUGUGAAUUGUGGGAUGCUGUCCCUGAAACAUCUGAGUGAAUCUAUGGACAAUGAAAAGUAUCUUUCAGAAAAGGCUAACUCUCACAGAGCACAAGCCACAUUGUAACUUCUAUUAGGACCAACCAACGUGACUCAAAACAGUGUGCAAACUUCGGAGUUCACCAGAACAAUUUAUCAACUGGAAGAGAAUGGAACUAGGAGGAGACUGUAUGUAUGAGAAUUUACCCACAACAUGAGAUCACAACUACCCAUUUUGGCUUCCACUAAAUUUACAACUCAUGCAUCACCUUACAUUUCUAUCCAAUGUUGUUAAUACAAUUACCACAAAGUAAUUCAUUUGCUCUCAGCCUACUAGAGAUCCGGGAGUCUUCCUUGGGGUCAGAGAGAUACAAGGGAAAUUGCUGGCCUUGGUAAUUUCAGUGGAGAGGUACCAUUUGUCUUUCGUCACUCACAGAAGCCAGGGUGCAACCUUAUCCCAACAGUUCAAAUCUACAUGCCUGCUCAGCAUUAAGCAUAGAAAUGGUAGAAACAGGAGGCCAUAAAAUUAUGGCCUGACAACAUCCUCCUACCCCACCCGCACACACUUCUUUUUUUUGUAAUAUCCAGCCUGGUGAAGAGUUCCUGUGAACGCCAAAGCCUGCAUAUUUUGUUGUGCCAUUUUGGUUUGUCAUAGUAAAAGGUAUUAUAUGGACUGUGUUCUGCCUUUGGAUUUUGGAUGAGCACAGAUGCAAGCAACUUUUGUCUCCUUACGACAUUCCUCACAGAACUUCUCCCAAAAAUCACCCCAUACUAUAUGACAGAAUUUUUAAACCAGGACGAACUAUGCAAGGAAAAGCAGACUAUGAAUAUUUUAAUAAAACAUUUCCUAAAGGCAUGCAUAUAUAUAACUUUUUCCCAAGGGUCUUCGAGGAAUAAACAUAGGAUUAAACUAUCAGAUAGGGAUGGGCACAAACCGGCU